rnacentral:rRNA from 1 species
CCUGGCUUAGGAUGAACGCUAGCGGCAGGCUUAACACAUGCAAGUCGAGGGGCAACGCGAGUAGCAAUACUUGGCGGCGACCGGCGCAAGGGUGCGUAACGCGUGAGCAACAUGCCCGUAUCAGGGGGAUAAUCCAGGGAAACUUGGUCUAAUACCCAUAGUAAUUUUGUAAGGCAUCUUAUAAGAUUUAAAGCUUUGGUGGAUACGGAUUGGCUCGCGUGACAUUAGCUGGAUGGUAAGGUAACGGCUUACCAUGGCUAUGAUGUCUAGGGGUUCUGAGAGGAAGGUCCCCCACACUGGAACUGAGACACGGUCCAGACUCCUACGGGAGGCAGCAGUGAGGAAUAUUGGACAAUGGAUGGAAAUCUGAUCCAGCCAUGCCGCGUGAAGGAAGAAGGUCCCUAUGGAUUGUAAACUGCUUUUGUAUGGGAGCAAUAAGGGCUACGCGUAGUCCGAUGAGAGUACCAUACGAAUAAGCACCGGCUAACUCCGUGCCAGCAGCUGC